CCCUCCCCCCCCCCAGCAGAGAGACCCCAGCAGCAGCAGCAGCUGAUGAUGAAGAGAGAGGCAGUGGCAGAGGGGGGGCACCUUUUAUUUCUAUUUUUAAAGGGACAGGACACUAAUUUUACCCCACUUCAACCUUGAAUUGAGGGGGGUGGGGGGAAGGCGGCUGAGUUCCUUCCCCCACCCUCCAGCCCUGAGACCUGAGAGGGAGAUUGAGCCUGAGAGAGAAGGAGUUUCUUCUUCUUCGAAAACCCCCAUCCACGACUCCUACCCCCUCACCCCUCCACUAGCCUCCCUCCCGAGCCCCCUCCACCCUCCUCCUCUUUGGCCGUGAGAGGAGGAGAGAAAGAGACCAAAAGCCUCUUAGCAACACAGACCCUUCUCUGCUGCUGCUGCUGCUGCUGCUGCUGCUGCUACUGCUGCUGCUGCUGCUUGGCCCUGGCUGGAGACAUCUCACUACACCCAGGAGCAGCCACUUCCCCAGCUCUCCUCCUCCUUCGCCUCCUCCUCCUCCUCCACUCCCCCCCCCCUUUAUUACCCUUUGUGUCAUCCUCCACAGCUCCAGGGAAGGCACUCAAAAGUGGGGGGCAGGAAAGACACUUAUCAACUUUCCAGUUUUCUAUGGAUAUGAAGAUUUACUCCUAGUCAUCAGUGGGACCCCAUGAAGUCAGCCAGAAAGCCUAUGUCCAACUUAUGUACCUUUGCAAACUUGUCUGGAUUUUGAAUGUAUGUGCAAAACAGAUUGUAUUUAGGUAUUCAUUAAACAUCUUUUGAGCAUC